GUGUCACAGAGCUGCUGCCAACCUGGUCAUAGGUCCCCAAAUGUACCUCCCUUGAAGGGGAAGGAAGGUGAAUCAUAUCCAGGCACGAUCCCGGCUCAGUCAAUACAUGCACACAAACUUUGCAAAGCCAACAUUUCGGCACCAACACCAGCUGGACACGCGUGUGCCACCAGCCCUGCUCCAGGACUGCUCUGCAGCCUCCCUGAGCCACUCAGCAGCAGCAUCCAGACCUUCAGGUUCAUCACUGGACCCCCACCGUGGAGCUGGUGGAGUGAGGGAUAGCUGCACACACCAGGAGGGGUGAGACACGAGCACGCCGAGGGCUGUCACACGCCUCCUCCCACAGCAGCCGGCGCACGCCCGUCACCCCGGUCCCAGCCAAGGAGGGUGGAAAGAUGGAUGCUUCGAGACGUUUUGGGAUGCAGGUGUGUGGGGUGGGGCAGUGCCCCGCUCCUCACACCCCACCCUGCUGGAGCCUGUGUCCCAGCCCUGCAGCAGUGCCAGUCACGGGCACAGCAGAGGCGAUGCUCCACUCCUGGAGCCCCUGACCCAGCUCCUGAGUGGCAAAGGGACCAGAAGUCCCACCUGGGAGAAGGACUCAUGCAGGCUCAUGCAGGCUCAUUUAAGGCUGAACACGAGGCCAUCAUGUAGGUCUAGACCCUGCCUCUCCUCCAUCAUCGCUGGAACCCAGGAACUGGCAGUAAUGCAGAAAAGUUUCUUCAAAGUUGGUCUGGACAAUGUUCUGUUAAAACUCCCACACAAGGGGCACCCACCACUAAUGAAUUAUAAGGAACUGAGUGAGGAGUCAAGUCUGGUUUCCCUGCAUGUAAUUGCAAUUUUCUCUCUUUCACAUCAUAUCACACUUGCUCUACCCCUCAGGGCACUCCUGCCCUUGGAUGAGGUUUUAGUGUGGCUGUUCAAUCUGUUAGAGACCAGGGCAUCUCUCUGAUCACCCUGGAGGGUCAGGGACCCUGGUGGAGGGGUCUGGGACCCGAGCAGGAGGUUUGGAACCUGUGCAGGGGGGUUGGAAACCUUGGCACAGAGACCAGGAGGAAUUACAAGUCUCAAGAGUGUGAAAUGAGUAGUAGUUAGUUUAUCACAGGGUGCAAAAGUAGAAUUUGGAGUUUUUUAGAAUGGAGGCUGAAGAGCCAAGAUGGAGGAAUCAGGUUGUGGACCUGUUCUUCUUCCUUCUUGUUCUUGCCCUCCAUCUUCUGCAGUGCUGGGUCACAAGAGACUGGUUUAGAGUGGAGAUUACAUGGUUAGCAUAGGUGAUAAGUAUUGGUAAUUAACUGUAAAUAGAGAAUAGGUUGUGGACAAUGUUGGGUUGAGGAAUGGUACAAAAGGGCUGAGACCGCCUAACCAGGGGGGAGUCUCCACGAGUUCUCUGCUGCAGCAGGAACCUUGGCAGAGCACAGAGAGAACUAUGAGAUAAAAAAGAAUAAACAACCUUGGAAAACCCGAACUGGCUACUCCUGACUCUUCUUCUGCUUCUGGAGCGAGGUGUUUCAGAGGGCAAAGGACACUUUAUCACCAAAUCUCAGGGAUAAGAACCUGAGAAAUCCUGUUUGGAUGGACUUCCAGACAGCCUGGGCAGCUGAAAGCUUGGCUGCACAGAAUUCAGGACAGGACUGUCAGGGUGUGGAGCAGGCCUGGGGAGCAGCUGCUUCUCCAGACGAGGUCUCAGCUGUGUUGUGCAGGUUUCCAGAGCAGCCCACCCCUUCCUGCUCUGCUGGGCUUGGGGGGCUGUGGGAAAUCUGCUCUGCUGGCCCAUUCCAGAGCCCUGUGUCCAGCUUCAUGGUCCAGCCACUCCAGGGCUGCUGGCUCUGAGGAGCCUGCAAGAGCAAUGCCAAAUCAGCAAGAGAAGAUGUAAGCAUGGGAGAUUUGUCAAAGAAAACUUUUUAAAAAUAUCAUAUAUCCCACAGCAGUCCAAAGUAAUAGCUCAGCUGCUAAAAAGGUGGAAUUAAAUAGGUCAGGCUGCAGAGCUGUGCCAAUCUCUGCCAGCUAAAGGAACUAACUUCUCAUCUGUUAGACUGUUUCAUCUUUUGCUGUUCCAAGAAUCCAUCUCUCUGCUAGUAAUGAUGUCAAAUAAAUCUUCACAAAAAUGUAAAAAUGUUUAUGAUUAUACUUACUGACCCGUUCCUUUAUUAAAUGAGGACAAUAGGAUGAUGCCUUGAUAUUUACUAAUGGGUUACUCCCAUCUAACCUUUUCUUGUUCAUCCAGAUCAUCUGUUUUCAUUUCACCAUUCAAUGGCUGCCAAUAAAAUUAAGUCAAUUAAAUUAAAGGUCUAUUAUGUUCUUUCAAAUCAGGCUGAGGUCUUUUUUCUUUCCCCAGUCAAUGCUCUCAGAAGAUUUUUGAUAGGGCAGCUGGGAAAUCUGGAGCAGAUUCUCCUCUGCUGGAAAUUGGUUUAGCUUUUCAGAAAUCAAUAGAGAGGCAUCAGCUUACCCUCAGGCAUCAGCUGAGGGCCUGAGCCCUGAUGUGUAGGAAUAAGCCCCAAGCCUGUCUUUGGGCCAAGAUUUAGGUCUGGAAUCACUCCCUCAUGCAAUCUCAAAGACCUUGUCUUCUUAUCAAAAUGUUAGAAGUUACUUAUAACAUAUAUGGUGCAUUUACACCAUCAUGUCUUACCCAUGGAAGUACCCCUAGCCCAGUAUAAAAAUGACCUUCUACAUUUAACUUUAAAUGUGAGCUAUUGCCAAGAGGCAUAAGUGAAAUUGAUAAAAGACUCUAAUGCUGUAUCAUAGAAUCUGCAUGAAGCUGUCUGUUUUGGUGUUCUGAUAUUAAAACAGUUUAUUGUAAUUUUUU